GGAUGGAUCAUCAAAGCAGAAAAAUUAUUUUUCUACUAAAAAGAAGUCUAUGAUGAAAGCUAUAACAGACAGACAAAGCAGCUGUCAGUCAGAGGCAGCCACAGGCACUGUGGAGAGGACCAAAAUGCAACAGCUGUGGAAGAAUAGUCCAGAGACUCAGCUCGUGAAUAUUGUGUCUGCUUGCUGAAACAAAAAGGAAAAAAAAAAAUAAAAGCAAAAAGGGGGAAAAAACAGUUUGGUACCUGUUUGUUCCACAUAAAUCUCUACAGGAUUAAUCCUCCUCUUUCUCGAGCUACAGUAUUGUGCUGGAGAAAAGUUACAAAAUACUGGAGCUUGUGGGAGCAUCUGAAUUGUUUCCGCAGCCUGUAUGGCAGUUCUUCCAUCCAAGUUACCAUCGCAGCCUAUCACCGAGGCUGGCGUGACUGCGGCUACCACAACAAACACAGCCAGGCUCUGUAUACCCACUUACUGCUUUCCUGGUUGUGAAAAGUGAUUCAAAUCAGUGAUCCUGAUUUUUUCCUUGGCACAGAGGUUCUCUGAGCAACACAGGACGUAACUGCACACAAACCACUUCCACCUUCCCCCAUUUUGGGAGCACGUCUAGAACAAAUGACACGGUAACAGCUUCAAUACGCUUCUGCUAUCCUCCUCUAUCCACGUGCAGCCACUACAAACACUGCUGCUUUAUCCAUACCCUAAACACUCCAUCAGCAACCUGCUGCUCUGGCUGACACAAUUUAAGGCAAAUCUGUGCCCUGGCCGGGAUCCCAACCCCACCCCACAAAAAUGCAGUCGUUCCUGUAGAACCACCUCUCCAGCAGGUGAAGGACAACCGUCUCUUUGCAGAUCUAGUUAGGCUACAUGAAACCUGGAACGCGGACACAGCUGAAGGACCGUUGGGACCAGAGAGAUUCCCGGCUGCUCUCUCACACUGAGUGCAGCAGUCCAUGGCCAGCUACGCCUUUAAAGUAUACUUUCAGCACACUCCUGGAUGCCACUCCAGCUUGACAAAUAUCACAAGGAGUUUGCUCGGCAGAUGAACAGGAACACCAGUAAAAAUUGAGUAGAGGAUGGUGUUGGAGAAAAGACAAACAGAUAUGCAAGUAAAGGCACCCUGCCGCAACUCGGAGGCUUACGGCUCUGCUUCCACAUUAUGGAAGAAAUCUGUUUGGCUAUAUACAUAAAGAAGAUGUAUAAGUAAAUAAAUAAGGAUAAGGGUGGGCUGCUGGAAAGUAGCUAGGCUGUAGCCCCUUCAGUAUUUUGGAGGUUGCUUAGCAACAGGCUGGCUGCUGCAGGGCUAAAGUAGCAUGAAAUUAGCAGCUUUUCAGCAAAAACCAAAUGGAACGGGAAACUGGGGAGGUGGCCGUUGAUGGCAGCAAGAAGAAAAGCAUUAACUGCUCUCGAUGCCAUCGCUGCAUUCACUUAAGGAAUUUGUUCCCUGUGAAUCCUUCGAGCAACUGAAGCUCAACCGCACAGAUCCACUUGUUCUGGCCAAAUGAUUCCUCUAAAUCAUAUUGCUUCUCCAGCCUUCUGGAACAACCCCACGUGGACACGGAGAAUCACGAUACAGACAGCUACUAUUAGGGAGAACUGAGUAAUGAGAACAGCAGGAACAUGCGUAUGCAUUUCAUGGAAGACUUAAGCGGGAGUUUUGAAUGAAAGAUUUUUCUGGGUCACUUAAUCUGGGGCCAGAUUGUACCACUUAAUUGUUUUCCACUGCUAAAUGUGCAUGAAGCUGGUCCCUGGCAGCAAGACACAACCAGGGACCUGUAUGGCAGAGGAUCCACAGGAAGGUGGUGCAGGGCGGUGGUGGGGUCAGGAGGGACGCUAAGACGCUUGGGCAGGCAUUAAACCGGAGGAGGAAAGGGAAAACACAGUGGCCCUUUCCUCUGCUUUUUACACAUACGCAGAACAGCUUCACAGGGUAGCUUUUAUUUGUGUGGCACUUCAGAAACAGCGUAAGACCUACCUCGGGGCCUGUGUGUGACCCAUAUUCGCUUGGAGCAGGGAAACUUCUGACCUGCAUUUCAUCCUCCUCAGUGCCCCACCACAGCACCUAACCGUUCCUGUGACUGGGGUGGAGUGCCAACAAGCCAUCGCCAGUUCCGUAGGCAGUAAGUUACAGACUGUAGAGCAGUUUUCAGCCUUUAACAUUUUCAGACUGAUUUCUGGGGGUCCUUGGGGGCCGCAUAGAGACGCCUUUGGCAAUGUAUUGUUUUCCUAUUUGUGUGGGGUUGAAAAGGCGGCAGCCGAGCGGCUGGUGAAACUGGUACUGCUCCCUGAAUUGAGCAAAAUGAGUGACUGAAGGGAGAUAGUCUUGGUUUAGGUCACCAGAACCAAAGAAGUAAAAAGGAAUUUUAUUCUCCACUUUCCUAAGCGAGUCCUUGCAGGUGUGCAUCCCAGGAUUUGAUCUCCCCAAGGAGAUUAAAAAAUACUGCCACAUUAAUGCAAAUAUACUGGUUACCAGGCAUACAGCAACUGGCUCACAUCACUCUCCACCACACAGGAUUUUAUUUAAAAAGUUAACUAUUACCCAAUACUGCAUAAUUUCCAGGGCUUAGCCCUAUUUUAUGGGGAAGUGGUAUUGCUUACAGGGCUAGCAGCUGUGUGCAUCGCCUGUUGAAGCUGGCUAACUCGUGUACGCCAGGUUCGGUGUAAAACAGAUGGGCUGCAGGGUCCUUCGCCCUGCUACCGAUACCAGCACCCCGGGUUGGAAAGGGAAGGUACACAGGGAUGAGGACAGAGGCAAUUCCUUCCUUCCACAGGAUGGACAGAUGAGGCAGCUGCUCAGCCGUGGCACGAACCGAGCACAGAAGUAGAGCCAGGGGAGAUCAGAAGUACUGGAAAUGACCAGGGAGAAGAGAUUUAAUAAGUGAAGGCACAGACAAGCCUGAAUCUUGCGUUCUGAUCGCGUAUUAAGAGCAGAAAAGAAGUGGGAAGAGCAAAUAGCAUCAGCAAUGCUUAGGAGUUGGAAAGAGAAGAUGUAUUAAAACACAUACUUAUUUCUCUUGCAAUGUCACUCUCUGUCAACUGCCAUGGUUUCCAGACUUUCAGAAUUGAAUUAUAUU